rfam:Clostridium sp. N3C genome assembly, contig: N3C_contig8
GGGGGCGUACUGGUUUCGACGGGGGUAAGACGUGUUUGAGUAGCGAGUCGAAGGUCUCCUGUACCUGCGUUAAAAAAACGGGAAUUAAAUAUAAACGCAAACGAAAAUAACAAUUUAGCAUUAGCAGCUUAGUCUGCAUGCCGUCAGCCUAAGAGUACCGCGGCUUAGGAUCUGGCGUCGACAGCGGUGAAACGAGCCUGAGUAAGCUUUGCCUCAGGAACGGGAUUUAUGAAGCUACUGAAGCUUGAACCCUGUCAGUAGGGGGCAAGCAGAGGGAAUGUGAAAAUACUGACUGCACUCGGAGAAGCUCAGGCAUUGCUGCCUUCGGACAGGGGUUCGAUUCCCCUCGCCUCCAUCU